AACUUUCAACAACGGAUCUCUUGGUUCUGGCAUCGAUGAAGAACGCAGCGAAAUGCGAUAAUUAAUGUGAAUUGCAGACUCAGUGAAUCAUCGAAUCUUUGAACGCACAUUGCGCCCUCUGGUAU
rnacentral:rRNA from 1 species